UGGGGAAUUUUGGACAAUGGGGGAAACCCUGAUCCAGCCAUCCCGCGUGUGCGAUGAAGGCCUUCGGGUUGUAAAGCACUUUUGGCAGGAAAGAAACGUCGCGGGUUAAUACCCCGCGAAACUGACGGUACCUGCAGAAUAAGCACCGGCUAACUACGUGCCAGCAGCCGCGGUAAUACGUAGGGUGCAAGCGUUAAUCGGAAUUACUGGGCGUAAAGCGUGCGCAGGCGGUUCGGAAAGAAAGAUGUGAAAUCCCAGAGCUUAACUUUGGAACUGCAUUUUUAACUACCGGGCUAGAGUGUGUCAGAGGGAGGUGGAAUUCCGCGUGUAGCAGUGAAAUGCGUAGAUAUGCGGAGGAACACCGAUGGCGAAGGCGAGCCUCCUGGGAUAACACUGACGCUCAUGCACGAAAGCGUGGGGAGCAAACAGGAUUAGAUACCCUGGUAGUCCACGCCCUAAACGAUGUCAACUAGCUGUUGGGGCCUUCGGGCCUUGGUAGCGCAGCUAACGCGUGAAGUUGACCGCCUGGGGAGUACGGUCGCAAGAUUAAAACUUAAAUGAAUUGAC
rnacentral:rRNA from 1 species